AGUGGCGGACGGGUGAGUAACGCGUGAGAAUCUGCCUUCAGGUCGGGGACAACAGAGGGAAACUUCUGCUAAUCCCGGAUGAGCCUUAGGGUAAAAAAUUUAUUGCUUGGAGAUGAGCUCGCGUCUGAUUAGCUAGUUGGUAAGGUAAAAGCUUACCAAGGCAACGAUCAGUAGCUGGUCUGAGAGGAUGAGCAGCCACACUGGGACUGAGACACGGCCCAGACUCCUACGGGAGGCAGCAGUGGGGAAUUUUCCGCAAUGGGCGAAAGCCUGACGGAGCAAGACCGCGUGGGGGAGGAAGGCUCUAGGGUUGUAAACCCCUUUUCUUUGGGAAGAACAAAAUGACGGUACCAAAGGAAUCAGCCUCGGCUAACUCCGUGCCAGCAGCCGCGGUAAUACGGAGGAGGCAAGCGUUAUCCGGAAUGAUUGGGCGUAAAGCGUCCGCAGGUGGCAAUGUAAGUCUGCUGUCAAAACCCAGGGCUCAACUCUGGUCAGGCAGUGGAAACUACAUAGCUAGAGUUCGGUAGGGGCAAAGGGAAUUCCCGGUGUAGCGGUGAAAUGCGUAGAGAUCGGGAAGAACAUCGGUGGCGAAAGCGCUUUGCUAGACCGAAACUGACACUCAGGGACGAAAGCUAGGGGAGCGAAUGGGAUUAGAUACCCC
rnacentral:rRNA from 1 species